rnacentral:rRNA from 1 species
CUACGGGUUGCUGCAGUGAGGAAUAUUGCACAAUGGGGGGAACCCUGAUGCAGCAACGCCGCGUGGAGGAUGACGCAUUUCGGUGUGUAAACUCCUUUUAUAUGUCAAGAAAAUGACGGUAGCAUAUGAAUAAGCACCGGCUAACUCCGUGCCAGCAGCCGCGGUAAUAUGGAGGGUGCAAGCGUUACUCGGAAUCAUUGGGCGUAAAGGACGCGUAGGCGGGUUGGAAAGUCAGGUGUGAAAUCCUACAGCUUAACUGUAGAACUGCACUUGAAACUGCUAAUCUAGAGUAUGGGAGGGGGAGAUGGAAUUAGUGGUGUAGGGGUAAAAUCCGUAGAUAUCACUAGGAAUACCUAAAGCGAAGGCGAUCUCCUGGAACAUUACUGACGCUAAGGCGUGAAAGCGUGGGGAGCAAACAGGAUUAGAUACCCUGGUAGAC